rnacentral:rRNA from 1 species
AGUGAACGCUGGCGGUAGGCCUAACACAUGCAAGUCGAACGGCAGCACAGUAAGAGCUUGCUCUUACGGGUGGCGAGUGGCGGACGGGUGAGGAAUACAUCGGAAUCUACUUUUUCGUGGGGGAUAACGUAGGGAAACUUACGCUAAUACCGCAUACGACCUACGGGUGAAAGCAGGGGAUCUUCGGACCUUGCGCGAUUGAAUGAGCCGAUGUCGGAUUAGCUAGUUGGCGGGGUAAAGGCCCACCAAGGCGACGAUCCGUAGCUGGUCUGAGAGGAUGAUCGGCCAACAUGGAACGGGAAAACGGCCAAACACCCUACGGGAGGAAGAGGGGGGGAAAAUGGGAAAAGGGGCGAAACCCGAAUCCAGCCAUACCGGGGGGGGGAAGAAGGCCUUGGGGUGGUAAAGCCCUUUUGUGGGGAAAAAAAAGCAGCAGGUUAAACCCCCGCUGUUCUGACGGUACCAAAAGAAUAAGCACCGGCAAACUUGGU